rnacentral:lncRNA from 1 species
ACAUAAUUAUUUUACAACAGCAAAGAUUUUAUUUGCUAUUUUAAAUGUUUUCCCUGUUUUUUACUUUAAGAGAAGAAGAAUAUAAAUGUUCUAGAAGAAUAUAUGCUGAGGAUAGCUUUCAGCUGCUGCGCUCUUAACUUAAGCCAAGUGCCUUGGAAGUGCAGUGAUUGUUCAGGAGCAACGAGGGACCUGCAGCACCUCCUCUGGGUACAGCAGAGGCAACUUCACCUGGCAUACUGGGAAUAGUUGGGCGGCUUUGACUUUCCCCCUCCAGCAUAUGUAGGUAAGCACCCCUCUCACCUGUCUUAACUCUGCAUAGAUAUAAACUAUAUGAAUAUAAAAUACCUAGGAUGGAUAACAAAGAAAACAUGUAUUCUUAAUCCUUGUCUCACAUGUAUGAAUACUCACAGUGAAUCAUGC